ACACACUAAGUGUCAGCUUCUAUCUUCACCUAUUCUCUUACACCUAGAGGAAGAGGAAAUGCAGGCUCUCUGGGCGGGCUGAGAGGUGAACAGGAAGUGAGACCAGCAAGGACAGAUGGCUGUUUGCAGAAUCUCACAAAGGAGACAGGGAGUGUGGGAAGAAGCUGAACACAGAAUGCUUUUUGGCAUUUUCCUUUCCGGGCUGCUGGCCUCUCUCAGAUACUGGAAGAAAGAGCCACGUGAGGGGAGAAGCUGAAGCACAGAGCAGGUCAACCCCCGAAAGAAGUGAAUGCCACAGGAGAUGGUAGGCGGCGGAUCUAGCCCAGGGGCUGGAGGAGCCUUGGACCACAGCGCUUGUGUCUCUCUGGGAGACGAAAGGAAACACAGAGAGGAUGGGUGCCAGGAUGCUCACACCUGAGUGCGCUCUGGGGGGUGUUUGGCUUUGUGCGCACUUGGUUAGCUUAGGUGAACUGUGUUCGGGUGGCUGCAAGUUUACCACAUUAAGGUAGAGGAUCAUCAAGUUCACAGUGGCGGAACAAAAGACUUGUAAAGUUCCUCAGCUGCAGCUGGCCUUGCCCUGCCCACAGUGCCAACAGCACGAGAUCAGAUGCUUUCAGAGCUGCCUGGAUAGAGCCUGGUGAUUGGAGGGAGGCCAGGGUGAAGAUCACUUCCUGGAGAGAAACGGAAGGCUUUGGGCAAACCAAUGAGCCUGACAGACUGCAUGGAGAAGCCCUUGGCUGCAGGACCUAAUUGUGGCUGCUCCUUCCAGCCACCAGCUGACUCUGGGACUUAUGUGGGCAGGAGUGCUUAAAAUCUGGCCCUUGAGUGCUUGGCAGAGGAACUACUUGUCCGAGUCCCUCACAGUCACUGAGAAUCUGCCAUGUGUCCCGCCCCGGGUGAAGUGCUUAGAAGACAUGACCUCACCCGUCUUCACCACAGUGGCAG